GUGACGUUAGCUCAGUUGGCAGAGCUCUGGAUUGUGAUUCCAGCGGCCACCGGUUCGAAUCCGGUACGUCACCCCA
rnacentral:tRNA from 1 species